UUAAGCGACUAAGCGUACACGGUGGAUGCCCUGGCAGUCAGAGGCGAUGAAGGACGUGCUAAUCUGCGAUAAGCGUCGGUAAGGUGAUAUGAACCGUUAUAACCGGCGAUUUCCGAAUGGGGAAACCCAGUGUGAUUCGUCACACUAUCAUUAACUGAAUCCAUAGGUUAAUGAGGCGAACCGGGGGAACUGAAACAUCUAAGUACCCCGAGGAAAAGAAAUCAACCGAGAUUCCCCCAGUAGCGGCGAGCGAACGGGGAGNNNNNNNNNNNNNNNNNNNNNNNNNNNNNNNNNNNNNNNNNNNNNNNNNNNNCUGUGAGCUCGAUGAGUAGGGCGGGACACGUGGUAUCCUGUCUGAAUAUGGGGGGACCAUCCUCCAAGGCUAAAUACUCCUGACUGACCGAUAGUGAACCAGUACCGUGAGGGAAAGGCGAAAAGAACCCCGGCGAGGGGAGUGAAAAAGAACCUGAAACCGUGUACGUACAAGCAGUGGGAGCACGCUUAGGCGUGUGACUGCGUACCUUUUGUAUAAUGGGUCAGCGACUUAUAUUCUGUAGCAAGGUUAACCGAAUAGGGGAGCCGAAGGGAAACCGAGUCUUAACUGGGCGUUAAGUUGCAGGGUAUAGACCCGAAACCCGGUGAUCUAGCCAUGGGCAGGUUGAAGGUUGGGUAACACUAACUGGAGGACCGAACCGACUAAUGUUGAAAAAUUAGCGGAUGACUUGUGGCUGGGGGUGAAAGGCCAAUCAAACCGGGAGAUAGCUGGUUCUCCCCGAAAGCUAUUUAGGUAGCGCCUCGUGAAUUCAUCUCCGGGGGUAGAGCACUGUUUCGGCAAGGGGGUCAUCCCGACUUACCAACCCGAUGCAAACUGCGAAUACCGGAGAAUGUUAUCACGGGAGACACACGGCGGGUGCUAACGUCCGUCGUGAAGAGGGAAACAACCCAGACCGCCAGCUAAGGUCCCAAAGUCAUGGUUAAGUGGGAAACGAUGUGGGAAGGCCCAGACAGCCAGGAUGUUGGCUUAGAAGCAGCCAUCAUUUAAAGAAAGCGUAAUAGCUCACUGGUCGAGUCGGCCUGCGCGGAAGAUGUAACGGGGCUAAACCAUGCACCGAAGCUGCGGCAGCGACGCUGAUGCGUUGUUGGGUAGGGGAGCGUUCUGUAAGCCUGCGAAGGUGUGCUGUGAGGCAUGCUGGAGGUAUCAGAAGUGCGAAUGCUGACAUAAGUAACGAUAAAGCGGGUGAAAAGCCCGCUCGCCGGAAGACCAAGGGUUCCUGUCCAACGUUAAUCGGGGCAGGGUGAGUCGACCCCUAAGGCGAGGCCGAAAGGCGUAGUCGAUGGGAAACAGGUUAAUAUUCCUGUACUUGGUGUUACUGCGAAGGGGGGACGGAGAAGGCUAUGUUGGCCGGGCGACGGUUGUCCCGGUUUAAGCGUGUAGGCUGGUUUUCCAGGCAAAUCCGGAAAANAUAUGGGGGGACCAUCCUCCAAGGCUAAAUACUCCUGACUGACCGAUAGUGAACCAGUACCGUGAGGGAAAGGCGAAAAGAACCCCGGCGAGGGGAGUGAAAAAGAACCUGAAACCGUGUACGUACAAGCAGUGGGAGCACGCUUAGGCGUGUGACUGCGUACCUUUUGUAUAAUGGGUCAGCGACUUAUAUUCUGUAGCAAGGUUAACCGAAUAGGGGAGCCGAAGGGAAACCGAGUCUUAACUGGGCGUUAAGUUGCAGGGUAUAGACCCGAAACCCGGUGAUCUAGCCAUGGGCAGGUUGAAGGUUGGGUAACACUAACUGGAGGACCGAACCGACUAAUGUUGAAAAAUUAGCGGAUGACUUGUGGCUGGGGGUGAAAGGCCAAUCAAACCGGGAGAUAGCUGGUUCUCCCCGAAAGCUAUUUAGGUAGCGCCUCGUGAAUUCAUCUCCGGGGGUAGAGCACUGUUUCGGCAAGGGGGUCAUCCCGACUUACCAACCCGAUGCAAACUGCGAAUACCGGAGAAUGUUAUCACGGGAGACACACGGCGGGUGCUAACGUCCGUCGUGAAGAGGGAAACAACCCAGACCGCCAGCUAAGGUCCCAAAGUCAUGGUUAAGUGGGAAACGAUGUGGGAAGGCCCAGACAGCCAGGAUGUUGGCUUAGAAGCAGCCAUCAUUUAAAGAAAGCGUAAUAGCUCACUGGUCGAGUCGGCCUGCGCGGAAGAUGUAACGGGGCUAAACCAUGCACCGAAGCUGCGGCAGCGACGCUUAUGCGUUGUUGGGUAGGGGAGCGUUCUGUAAGCCUGUGAAGGUGUACUGUGAGGUAUGCUGGAGGUAUCAGAAGUGCGAAUGCUGACAUAAGUAACGAUAAAGCGGGUGAAAAGCCCGCUCGCCGGAAGACCAAGGGUUCCUGUCCAACGUUAAUCGGGGCAGGGUGAGUCGACCCCUAAGGCGAGGCCGAAAGGCGUAGUCGAUGGGAAACAGGUUAAUAUUCCUGUACUUGGUGUUACUGCGAAGGGGGGACGGAGAAGGCUAUGUUGGCCGGGCGACGGUUGUCCCGGUUUAAGCGUGUAGGCUGGUUUUCCAGGCAAAUCCGGAAAAUCAAGGCUGAGGCGUGAUGACGAGGCACUACGGUGCUGAAGCAACAAAUGCCCUGCUUCCAGGAAAAGCCUCUAAGCAUCAGGUAACAUCAAAUCGUACCCCAAACCGACACAGGUGGUCAGGUAGAGAAUACCAAGGCGCUUGAGAGAACUCGGGUGAAGGAACUAGGCAAAAUGGUGCCGUAACUUCGGGAGAAGGCACGCUGAUAUGUAGGUGAAGCGACUUGCUCGUGGAGCUGAAAUCAGUCGAAGAUACCAGCUGGCUGCAACUGUUUAUUAAAAACACAGCACUGUGCAAACACGAAAGUGGACGUAUACGGUGUGACGCCUGCCCGGUGCCGGAAGGUUAAUUGAUGGGGUUAGCGCAAGCGAAGCUCUUGAUCGAAGCCCCGGUAAACGGCGGCCGUAACUAUAACGGUCCUAAGGUAGCGAAAUUCCUUGUCGGGUAAGUUCCGACCUGCACGAAUGGCGUAAUGAUGGCCAGGCUGUCUCCACCCGAGACUCAGUGAAAUUGAACUCGCUGUGAAGAUGCAGUGUACCCGCGGCAAGACGGAAAGACCCCGUGAACCUUUACUAUAGCUUGACACUGAACAUUGAGCCUUGAUGUGUAGGAUAGGUGGGAGGCUUUGAAGUGUGGACGCCAGUCUGCAUGGAGCCGGCCUUGAAAUACCACCCUUUAAUGUUUGAUGUUCUAACGUUGACCCGUAAUCCGGGUUGCGGACAGUGUCUGGUGGGUAGUUUGACUGGGGCGGUCUCCUCCUAAAGAGUAACGGAGGAGCACGAAGGUUGGCUAAUCCUGGUCGGACAUCAGGAGGUUAGUGCAAUGGCAUAAGCCAGCUUGACUGCGAGCGUGACGGCGCGAGCAGGUGCGAAAGCAGGUCAUAGUGAUCCGGUGGUUCUGAAUGGAAGGGCCAUCGCUCAACGGAUAAAAGGUACUCCGGGGAUAACAGGCUGAUACCGCCCAAGAGUUCAUAUCGACGGCGGUGUUUGGCACCUCGAUGUCGGCUCAUCACAUCCUGGGGCUGAAGUAGGUCCCAAGGGUAUGGCUGUUCGCCAUUUAAAGUGGUACGCGAGCUGGGUUUAGAACGUCGUGAGACAGUUCGGUCCCUAUCUGCCGUGGGCGCUGGAGAANUGAGGGGGGCUGCUCCUAGUACGAGAGGACCGGAGUGGACGCAUCACUGGUGUUCGGGUUGUCAUGCCAAUGGCACUGCCCGGUAGCUAAAUGCGGAAGAGAUAAGUGCUGAAAGCAUCUAAGCACGAAACUUGCCCCGAGAUGAGUUCUCCCUGACUCCUUGAGAGUCCUGAAGGAACGUUGAAGACGACGACGUUGAUAGGCCGGGUGUGUAAGCGCAGCGAUGCGUUGAGCUAACCGGUACUAAUGAACCGUGAGGCUUAACCUU
rnacentral:rRNA from 1 species